rnacentral:rRNA from 1 species
UACGUAGGGUGCGAGCGUUAAUCGGAAUUACUGGGCGUAAAGCGUGCGCAGGCGGCGCGUUAAGACAGGUGUGAAAGCCCCGAGCUUAACUUGGGAAUUGCGCUUGUGACUGGCGUGCUGGAGUGUGGCAGAGGGAGGUGGAAUUCCACGUGUAGCAGUGAAAUGCGUAGAGAUGUGGAGGAACACCGAUGGCGAAGGCAGCCUCCUGGGCCAGCACUGACGCUCAGGUGCGAAAGCCAGGGGAGCGAACGGG